rnacentral:rRNA from 1 species
AAGUCUAAUCUGCCCACUGAAAUUUUUAAAGGGCUGCAGUAUAUUGACUGUACAAAGGUAGCAUAAUAAUUAGUCUUUUAAUUGAAGACUUGUAUGAAUGAUUUAAUGAGAUAUAAACUGUUUCUUUAUUAAUGAUAGAAUUUAAUUUUUUAGUUAAAAAGCUAAGAUUUUUUUAAAAGACGAGAAGACCCUAUAGAGUUUAAUUUUUUAAUUUUUAUAAUUAUUUUAUAAAAUUUAUAAUUUAUAAAAAUUAAAAAAUUUUGUUGGGGUGAUGGAAAAAUUUAAUUAACUUUUUUUAAAAAUUUAACAUUAAUAUAUGAUUUUUUGAUCCAUAAUUUAUGAUUAAAAGAAUAAAUUACCUUAGGGAUAACAGCGUAAUUUUUUUUUUUAGUUCGAAUAAAAAUUAAAGUUUGCGACCUCGAUGUUGGAUUAAGAUAAAAUUUAAAUGCAAAAGUUUAAAAUUUUGAUC